GCCUAGCAAGAUGGCGCUGCCCGCGUUGUUGCACCCGUUCUCCAAGCUGCUGGCUCCUGCCAAGGCUCCCAAGCAGCUCUUCAGCGCAAAGUUCUACAUUCGGGAGCACCACAUGACAGACCUGACUGGCUGAAAGUUGGACUGACCUUGGGCACCUCUGUCUUCUUGUGGAUCUCUCUCAUCAAGCAACAUAAUGAAGAUGUUUUAGAGUAUAAAAGAAGCAAUGGGUUGGAAUAAACUAUUGAAAUACUAAUAUGGUAGGCUCCAUAUAGUGAUUAUACUAGUUCCUUUGGAUUCACCAAUCUGUUGAGUUGUAAACGUGAGAGAAAAAGUUAUAUGUGAAUGUAUGUCAAAUCAGCAUUUGUGUUUUGCAUCAUUAAAUGAAAAAAUAA